GGAGGAGGUAGAGCAUCUUGGGAAACCUUUCUGUUAGGUUGUACAGCCCAGGUAUAUGAAAUUAGGGACCCACAGCUGACCCUUUUUUGGCUGAGACUCUGUACUGCUGAGCUUGGAGGGUUUCUAAAACGCCUUUUGUUGCCUGUCUACAUUCUUCCUCAGUGGUCAAAGCUAUGAGGAGGUCAUCUAUACACUGGAGUGGAGUGCUUUGUGGAUGUCUUUAUCUAAAGUCCAUCAGACCUGCCCUCAGGUUUUCAUCAAACACUGUUGGACUGUGACAGCUGACAUAACAAUGCAC
rnacentral:lncRNA from 1 species